UGUGAGGUAUGCUGGAGGUAUCAGAAGUGCGAAUGCUGACAUAAGUAACGAUAAAGCGGGUGAAAAGCCCGCUCGCCGGAAGACCAAGGGUUCCUGUCCAACGUUAAUCGGGGCAGGGUGAGUCGACCCCUAAGGCGAGGCCGAAAGGCGUAGUCGAUGGGAAACAGGUUAAUAUUCCUGUACUUGGUGUUACUGCGAAGGGGGGACGGAGAAGGCUAUGUUGGCCGGGCGACGGUUGUCCCGGUUUAAGCGUGUAGGCUGGUUUUCCAGGCAAAUCCGGAAAAUCAAGGCUGAGGCGUGAUGACGAGGUACUACGGUGCUGAAGCAACAAAUGCCCUGCUUCCAGGAAAAGCCUCUAAGCAUCAGGUAACAUCAAAUCGUACCCCAAACCGACACAGGUGGUCAGGUAGAGAAUACCAAGGCGCUUGAGAGAACUCGGGUGAAGGAACUAGGCAAAAUGGUGCCGUAACUUCGGGAGAAGGCACGCUGAUAUGUAGGUGAAGCGACUUGCUCGUGGAGCUGAAAUCAGUCGAAGAUACCAGCUGGCUGCAACUGUUUAUUAAAAACACAGCACUGUGCAAACACGAAAGUGGACGUAUACGGUGUGACGCCUGCCCGGUGCCGGAAGGUUAAUUGAUGGGGUUAGCGCAAGCGAAGCUCUUGAUCGAAGCCCCGGUAAACGGCGGCCGUAACUAUAACGGUCCUAAGGUAGCGAAAUUCCUUGUCGGGUAAGUUCCGACCUGCACGAAUGGCGUAAUGAUGGCCAGGCUGUCUCCACCCGAGACUCAGUGAAAUUGAACUCGCUGUGAAGAUGCAGUGUACCCGCGGCAAGACGGAAAGACCCCGUGAACCUUUACUAUAGCUUGACACUGAACAUUGAGCCUUGAUGUGUAGGAUAGGUGGGAGGCUUUGAAGUGUGGACGCCAGUCUGCAUGGAGCCGACCUUGAAAUACCACCCUUUAAUGUUUGAUGUUCUAACGUUGACCCGUAAUCCGGGUUGCGGACAGUGUCUGGUGGGUAGUUUGACUGGGGCGGUCUCCUCCUAAAGAGUAACGGAGGAGCACGAAGGUUGGCUAAUCCUGGUCGGACAUCAGGAGGUUAGUGCAAUGGCAUAAGCCAGCUUGACUGCGAGCGUGACGGCGCGAGCAGGUGCGAAAGCAGGUCAUAGUGAUCCGGUGGUUCUGAAUGGAAGGGCCAUCGCUCAACGGAUAAAAGGUACUCCGGGGAUAACAGGCUGAUACCGCCCAAGAGUUCAUAUCGACGGCGGUGUUUGGCACCUCGAUGUCGGCUCAUCACAUCCUGGGGCUGAAGUAGGUCCCAAGGGUAUGGCUGUUCGCCAUUUAAAGUGGUACGCGAGCUGGGUUUAGAACGUCGUGAGACAGUUCGGUCCCUAUCUGCCGUGGGCGCUGGAGAACUGAGGGGGGCUGCUCCUAGUACGAGAGGACCGGAGUGGACGCAUCACUGGUGUUCGGGUUGUCAUGCCAAUGGCACUGCCCGGUAGCUAAAUGCGGAAGAGAUAAGUGCUGAAAGCAUCUAAGCACGAAACUUGCC
rnacentral:rRNA from 1 species